rnacentral:rRNA from 1 species
CUGAAACCGUGUGCUUACAAGUAGUCAGAGCCCGUUAAUGGGUGAUGGCGUGCCUUUUGUAGAAUGAACCGGCGAGUUACGAUUUGAUGCAAGGUUAAGCAGUAAAUGUGGAGCCGUAGCGAAAGCGAGUCUGAAUAGGGCGUUUAGUAUUUGGUCGUAGACCCGAAACCAGGUGAUCUACCCUUGGUCAGGUUGAAGUUCAGGUAACACUGAAUGGAGGACCGAACCGACUUACGUUGAAAAGUGAGCGGAUGAACUGAGGGUAGCGGAGAAAUUCCAAUCGAACCUGGAGAUAGCUGGUUCUCUCCGAAAUAGCUUUAGGGCUAGCCUCAAGUGAUGAUUAUUGGAGGUAGAGCACUGUUUGGACGAGGGGCCCCUCUCGGGUUACCGAAUUCAGACAAACUCCGAAUGCCAAUUAAUUUAACUUGGGAGUC